UGUCUGAAACUGUUGUCCUCCAUCUUCAUUUUCAAAUGGAAAGAGAGUUUCUUGGAAUCUCUGCUAAUCGUCUCAAUGGAAUAAGAUGAGCAAACUGUUCGAGCUGUUCUCCUGGAAGACCAUGUCUGAUAGCUGUCCCUCCCUGCCCUGGGGACACACCUCAGGUAAAGACUGGGCAAUAGAAGAAGCUUCCUGCAACCUCCUAAUACCCUGAAGAUUAACAUUUAUCAUGCUGAGAUUUGGGCAGCACCUCAUUAAGCCCUCCGUGGUCUUCCUGAAGACUGAGCUCUCCUUUGCUCUGGUGAACCGCAAGCCGGUGGUCCCAGGACGUAUCCUUCCAAGCAGCGCCUUGAUGAUGGGUGCCGGCGCUCUGGGGAAAACGGCAGAAGCUCGGUGCGCUUUGAAGGCCAGGAGGGAUCACCUUGCCUGAGGGUGUCUUCUCUCCCAGGCACUGAAGAGAGAGGACCAGGUCCUCCCCAUCCUCUGUAACAUGCAUCAUUUCCAAGUUAGGAUUUAAUUAGCCACGGGAAAGAGCAAUGGUACCUAUAGCAGGGAAGCUGCAACUGAGUAUAUGACGAAGGCUGAUAUGACCCAGUCCAGGACGUGCAUUCAGCCUGCAAAGGGGGCUGGAUUCUGCUCUUCAGUUAUUUGUGCCAAAUGUGAGAAUUAUUUUUCCCUUCUUAUUAUUACAUUUUCCAAUUUGCAUUGCGCAGAGCUAAUCAAUUAUUAAAAGUGGUUCAAAAUCUUCUCAAGACAUAUGGGGAUUAUUGGCAUCUGUGUGUUUAAGUAAGCAGGUAUUUUACAGCUUGAAAAUAGCAUGUGUCUAAGGUUUUAAUGUAACAAUUUAGUUUUGAAGAGCUGCAG
rnacentral:lncRNA from 1 species